GGGCAUUACUCAAGUGAGCUGAUGAAGUAAGAGGAAUCCAGAGGCGUGGGAUUUGCACUGUGUAUCAUUUUAAGCAUGGUUGGCCGCAUCGUUGGCUCCUCUUGAAAGCACAUGUACUACUUGCACCAAGAGCAAGAAUUUAACAGUAGAAAAGCCGUAUCAACUAUAUGUAUGCCCCAAUGCGAUCAACAACAAAAAAUUAUGCUCGCAAUUACCUGGCACGGGCACUGGAGUCAUUUGGGAAGGAUGCUCAAGAUUAGGAAUGUCACCAAGAGGGGCUCGGCUAGAGUUAUCACCAAGAGGGGAUAGGCACAGAUUUGUCGCCUCCAUAUCUUCAAGCGUCAUGGUCUGUCGGCGCUUGUAACGAAAUAAAAUAAACCAUUAUUAUUUCUGUGAACUGUACACAUUAAAUAUAUACUGGGCCAAAAUCUAACUUUGAAGCA